rnacentral:misc_RNA from 1 species
GAUGAAGAACGUAGCGAAAUGCGAUAAGUAAUGUGAAUUGCAGAAUUCAGUGAAUCAUCGAAUCUUUGAACGCACAUUGCGCCCGCCAGUAUUCUGGCGGGCAUGCCUGUUCGAGCGUCAUUACAACCCUCAGGCCCCCGGGCCUGGCGUUGGGGAUCGGCGGAGCCCCCCGUGGGCACACGCCGUCCCCCAAAUGCAGUGGCGGUCCCGCCGCAGCUUCCAUCGCGUAGUAGCUAACACCUCGCGACUGGAGAGCGGCGCGGCCACGCCGUAAAACACCCAACUCUUCUGAAGUUGACCUCGAAUCAGUUAGGAAUACCCGCUGAACUUAAGCAUAUCAAUAAGCGGAGGA